rnacentral:lncRNA from 1 species
GCUCUCCCCAGCGCCAGGACCUUGCCGCCCACGCCUCCGGCACCCGGCCAAGCCGACACCCAGAUCCUUGGCAGGCCUAGAGUUUGCAGAGUGAGAACUGGGAAGUGGACCUCUGGAAGCACGAAUACAGACAUGCAGGAGGGCUGUGUGUGCUGUGGAAGUGGUGGGGACCCUGUUUUCAAGACCAGCAGCCAGUCUCCCCUGUGCAGACUAACGUCCCCACAGCCAGGCAGGCAGCGCAGAGCCCCAGCAUGGAGCACUCACAGGAGCAGCCCAGAGAACAGCUGUGACAGGGUGACGGUGAUGCUGGGUGGGCGCACAGGGGCGCUCAAACCAGCUCUCAGUUGACCUGAGACACUAGCAUGAGGAAGGAGCUGGGGUAGUUACGGUCGGCCAUGGAGGACAACCAGGACUUUCGUCCCAGAGGGGACUUGCCUGGGGAGCACUCAGCAUGGAAUGUCCGUGGCUUAG